GAAAUGCGAUACGUAAUGUGAAUUGCAGAUUUCAGUGAAUCAUCGAAUCUUUGAACGCACAUGGCGCUCCUGGGCAUGCCUAGGAGCAUGCCUGUUCGAGUAUCGUUUCAUUACCUUUCCUUUCCUUCCCUCUUCACCGAGCGGAAUGAAACGGAUGCAUUGCCCAUUCCAUGCACCUCCGCAUGGAUUGGUAGCAAAAUGUAUGCCUGAUCCAGAUUCUCCAUUGGAUGACACAUUCUGUUGUGGAUUCACAUACAAAAAUGGACAUUCCAGCGUGAGAAUCUGCGAUUACCAGGUUUCACAAGGAUGAGGUGACCAAGCCUCGUCGCGCAACCUAUCCACACGCGAUCUCGAAUCAGGCAAGGCUACCCGCUGAACUUAA
rnacentral:misc_RNA from 1 species